GUAAUGCGUGACCAACCUGCCCCAUGCUCCAGAAUAGCUCUUGGAAACGGGUGGUAAUGCUGGAUGCUCCAACUUGACGCAUGUCUUGUUGGGAAAGUGUUUAGUGGCAUGGGAUGGGGUCGCGUCCUAUCAGCUUGUAGGCGGGGUAAUGGCCCACCUAGGCUUCGACGGGUAGCCGGCCUGAGAGGGCGGACGGCCACAUUGGGACUGAGAUACGGCCCAGACUCCUACGGGAGGCAGCAGCC
rnacentral:rRNA from 1 species